UACGGAGGGGGUUAGCGGUGUUCGGAAUUACUGGGCGUAAAGCGCGCGUAGGCGGAUCAGAAAGUUGGGGGUGAAAUCCCGGGGCUCAACCCCGGAAUUGCCUUCAAAACUCCUGGUCUUGAGUUCGAGAGAGGUGAGUGGAAUUCCGAGUGUAGAGGUGAAAUUCGUAGAUAUUCGGAGGAACACCAGUGGCUAAGGCGGCUCACUGGCUCGAAACUGACGCUGAGGCGCGAAAGCGUGGGGAGCAAACAGG
rnacentral:rRNA from 1 species